rnacentral:rRNA from 1 species
AAUCAACGCUGGCGGCGUGCCUCAGACAUGCAAGUCGAACGAUUAAAGCUCUCUUCGGAGAGUGUAUAGAGUGGCGCACGGGUGAGUAACACGUAAGUAAUCUACCCUCGAGUGGGGAAUAACGUCCGGAAACGGACGCUAAUACCGCAUAAUGCAGCGGCACCGCAAGGUGACAGUUGUUAAAGAUUUAUCGCUUGAGGAGGAGCUUGCGGCAGAUUAGCAGUUGGUAAGGUAAUGGCUUA